UACGUAGGGGGCAAGCGUUGUCCGGAUUUAUUGGGCGUAAAGAGCGUGUAGGCGGCCGUACAGGUCAGCUGUGAAAACUCGAGGCUCAACCUCGAGACGUCGGUUGAAACCGCACGGCUAGAGUCCGGAAGAGGAGAGUGGAAUUCCCGGUGUAGCGGUGAAAUGCGCAGAUAUCGGGAGGAACACCCGUGGCGAAAGCGGCUCUCUGGGACGGUACUGACGCUGAGACGCGAAAGCGUGGGGAGCAAACAGG
rnacentral:rRNA from 1 species